GGAACAGACACGGAUGGCCAGACUCAAA
rnacentral:sRNA from 1 species